rnacentral:misc_RNA from 1 species
AUACGGUAAAUAUAAGGGAGAAAUGCAGAAAAUCUAAAUUCUUUUUUGUAAGGAAUAUGUGAUUCUUGAGGCUAUAUUUUAUAUACAAUUAGCAAUUGCAGGUUUACAACUAAAGAAAUAACAUAGCUCUUGUGAAAUUAAAAGUGGAUAAAUUUGAAAAGAAAAAAAAAUGAUUAUUUUAUUUGAAGAACCAAGACUAGUCCAUUUAGUGCAGAAGCUAUUUUAUCUUAUCUCCUUUGGAAGUUAAUGAACUUGAUGCCAUAUGCGAACACAAAGAAAAAGACGAGAACCCAGCCAAUAUGAGCCACAGCAACAGCUGGAAGGAACUUAUGAUCAAAGCCCAAGCUUUCUUUUAGAUAUACCUUCAAGGGCACAUUACCAGCCCCAGGUAUUUCCAGAAGAACAUUCUUGUCACCCACUUGAGAUGCCACAAGCCCAUAUAUUGUCCAGGCAACUGGAGUAGCCCAGUAGUACCAUCUCCACCAUAUAGGUAUUUGAAUCCUGGGAAUGAGAAAACCAGAGAACAAGUUCCAGAAAGAUAAGAAGAAGGACAUGACAAUAGCCGCAAUUUGGUGAUUCGGAGUCAAUGCAACAACCAUCAUCCCAUACAAUGUGAAGUAAAUGAAGCCCGUUGUUAUGAAGUAGAUGAACCAAAAGAACUUUCCAGCCUUCCACUCGAAGCCAAUCAUGGUAUAAAGGAUAAAACCGUAGAUGAUUGAUUGAAUUGUAACAUAAAUUGCCUCUAUUGCCACCUGAGCCAAUGCGUAAGGCAGUGCGGAAUACAUUCCAGCUGCUCUUUCACGGUAGAAAACUGUUCUUUCAAUUGCAACAAUGGGUUGCACUGAAGAAGUAUUGGUUGCACCAAGGAAAAAUAUUGCAGUAUACAUGGCUCCCAAAAGAUUCAUUAGAUCCUGUUGUUUGGUAGUCUUUUGCCCUUCGUUCCAAAAGAUGAGACCAAACAGAACCCCUAUGACUAUUGUCAGGAAGAAACGGAUGGCAUUAUAUCGAGGGUUUCUCCAGUACGACCAAUGUUGUUUCCAAAAACAUGCCUGGCACUGAACAAGGAAAGGUUGUGAGUAUUUGGAUGGGAAGUAGAGAUCCUUUGAGCCUGGUACUGGAGUGCUAAGUUCUUUGAUAAGAUCCUGAUUCCUCUGAUAGAGAGAGGAGUUGACAUAAAUUUCCGCAAAAUCCACGUUCAGUUGUGUCUCGAUUGAAGAAGUACUGAUAUCAAGCAUCCAUGUUGCAGGGUUGUAUCCAUCCUUGAUCUUAGGAACACCGGGAAUAGCCUCAAAAUAUUCUAUAAGCUUGUUAGAGUGGUGACCAAGGGGUCCAGCAUAAAUGAUUUGACCACCUCUUUUCAUCAAGACCAACUCAUCAAAAGCCUCAAAAAUGUCAAUGCUUGGCUGGUGAAUUGUGCAUACAACAGUUCUCCCUGUAUCCACAGUGUUUCUCACGGUACGUAUAACAAUAGCAGCAGCUCUGGCAUCAAGGCCAGAAGUUGGCUCAUCCAUGAAGAUGAUGGAGGGAUUAGCAACCAACUCUACAGCUAUUGUCAACCUCUUCCUUUGUUCUGUUGAUAGACCAUCUACUCCUGGAAGUCCAACUAGAGCAUCUCUUAUCGGAUUUAGCUCAACCAACUCCAUAACUUCUUCAACGAACAUCUUUCUUGUUUUUGCAUCUACGUCAUUAGAAAGGCGAAGCCAGGCAGAAUAUAAGAGAGAUUCGUAAACAGUAACAUGUGGUGAAUGAAUGUCAUUUUGUUCACAAUAACCACUGACACGAGCAAAUGUUGCUUGGUUCUUUGGGUAACCAGCUAUGGUAAUACUUCCUUCAAUGUACCCACUGGUCUUUCUUCCAGCUAGGACAUCCAUCAACGUUGUCUUCCCGGCACCACUCAUACCCACCAGUGCUGUUAGUAUCCCUGGUCUGAAGGAACCACUAACAUCUCGUAACAGUUGAAGACGCUUCUCUUGAAUUCCUUCAUUCUUCAUUUCAGCAGGCAUGUCCACAUAAUAGUUCACAUGGUUGAAUGCCAGUGAAAGGGGUUGGAAGGGUAAAACCAUUCCUCUUUUGGAUGAACUACCCGCAGCACCAACACUUUCUGAAGAACUUUUAAUUUCCAUUUCAAUACCUUCUGUUCGAUGUUUUCCUGAGUACGACUUCUUCUCCUUAUCUUCAUCAACAAUGACAGUUUUUGAAUCACCCAGAGGAUUCAAGUAACUCAGUGCGACAAUAAAUAAGAUGUUGAAUAGGAAAGAAAACGCAAAUAGUGCUCCAAUACAAAUCCAAAACCAGUAGUCAUCAGUAAAAAAGCCUCUAGACUUCAAAAGGACUUUACCAACUGUAGGUGCAUCAAUCCUGGGAUCUGGAUUGGGCUGGCAUUAGGCAACAAUUAGCAACAUAUAACAAAAAAUUAAUCGUCAUCUAACUAGAAUUUGGGUUGCAUAUGAAUGUGCCUUUCCUUAAUUGAACAAGAAUAUAUAUUAAAGGCAAUCAAAGUGUGAAGAAAUCAUACUGCGCUCCAUCUUUUAUCUAGGAAUUCAUUCAUGACAACGGCAUUCUGUCCAUACAUCAUAGGAGAAGCAUAAUAGCCCCAAAUCAUCCAGGGUGCAAUAUCAUUUUUGGCAACAAUGAAUCCUCCAAGCACGAAAACCAAAAGCAAGGUGAAGCUACCAAGUGUGUUUGCCACAACUUGUGUUCUUCCAAUCGCAGCAAUGAAACGAAAGAGGGAAAGAGCCAUCUGAUGUAUACCAAAAAAUGCCAGGAACUGUCUGAAGAAUCUGAAGAAAUAAUGAAAAUGUUGUUGCCAAAAGUUAUAGCAACAUUAAGAGAGACUGAAUUUCAGUCAUCUUUAAAUCCAGAGCAGAAAAAUGUAAAUUGGAAGUUCAACAUAUAAAUGAGUUGUCCACCGAAGCCGCAAAAGAGAAAGGAAACAAGUUGCCAACCUAAGCAGUGGACAAACAAUUCACAAAAGCAGCUAGAAAGUUUGAAACCUUCGAGAACAUUUACCUUCUAGCACCAGGAGCAAAGCCAAUUGUAUAGUAUGUUAGUACAAUCCAUAUCGCUGAUUCCAGGAAUGAUAAGGGCAUUCUAAGGACCCAUAUAGGUAAGCCAAAGGCCCAUGCAGGAUAGAACAAGAAGUCCCUCUGUUUGAAGAAGACAGGAAGCCUGAAAACUGUCAAUGCAAGUUCUGCCAUCCCAUUAAACAUUACAUUGAUUAGGCUGAAAAACAUCGCUCCAAAGAAUUUUUGUCCAUCUGCAACAGUACCCACUUCCAUUUUUGUCCUCAGGAACACUGUAAAACCAAUUACUGACAUGAUUGUUAUCUGGGUUGUUUUGAAUAUAUACACAAAGGAGUUUCGCUUCAUCAGCAGCCACUCUCUUGAGAAGCAUGCUCUGAACAGUUCCCAAUAUGAAAUGCCAAACUUGUCCGUUACCAGUGCAGCACGAUGAGCUCUUGAUUUAUCAUAAGGAACGCUAAGAUCUGAUGCAAGUUGUUGGCCAAUGCGGAAAGAGCCGAAGCCCUGCACAAAUUCAGGAACUGAGAUAAAUCUAUAAGGUUGAUCCUUUUUGUU